rnacentral:rRNA from 1 species
UACGGGGGGGGCAAGCGUUGUUCGGAAUUACUGGGCGUAAAGGGCUCGUAGGCGGCCAACUAAGUCAGACGUGAAACCCCUCGGCUUAACCGGGGAACUGCGUCUGAUACUGGAUGGCUUGAAUCCGGGAGAGGGAUGCGGAAUUCCAGGUGUAGCGGUGAAAUGCGCAGAUAUCAGGAGGAACACCGGUGGCGAAGGCGGGUCUCUGGGCAGUAACUGACGCUGAGGAGCGAAAGCGUGGGGAGCGAACAGG